UCUUCAGGGUAUUCCAUAGCUACCUUUUAGA
rnacentral:piRNA from 1 species